rnacentral:rRNA from 1 species
UGGGGGCACCCUGAUCCAGCCAUGCCGCGUGUGUGAAGAAGGCCCUCGGGUUGUAAAGCACUUUCAGCGAGGAAGAACGCCUAUCGGUUAAUACCCGGUAGGAAAGACAUCACUCGCAGAAGAAGCACCGGCUAACUCCGUGCCAGCAGCCGCGGUAAUACGGAGGGUGCAAGCGUUAAUCGGAAUUACUGGGCGUAAAGCGCGCGUAGGUGGCUUGAUAAGCCGGUUGUGAAAGCCCCGGGCUCAACCUGGGAACGGCAUCCGGAACUAUCAGGCUAGAGUGCAGGAGAGGAAGGUAGAAUUCCCGGUGUAGCGGUGAAAUGCGUAGAGAUCGGGAGGAAUACCAGUGGCGAAGGCGGCCUUCUGGACUGACACUGACACUGAGGUGCGAAAGCGUGGGUAGCAAACAGGAUUAGAUACCCUGGUAGUCCACGCCGUAAACGAUGUCGACCAGCCGUUGGGUGCCUAGCGCACUUUGUGGCGAAGUUAACGCGAUAAGUCGACCGCCUGGGGAGUACGGCCGCAAGGUUAAAACUCAAAUGAAUUGACGGGGGCCCGCACAAGCGGUGGAGCAUGUGGUUUAAUUCGAUGCAACGCGAAGAACCUUACCUACCCUUGACAUCCUGCGAACUUGUGAGAGAUCACUUGGUGCCUUCGGGAGCGCAGAGACAGGUGCUGCAUGGCUGUCGUCAGCUCGUGUUGUGAAAUGUUGGGUUAAGUCCCGUAACGAGCGCAACCCUUGUCCUUAUUUGCCAGCACGUAAUGGUGGGAACUCUAAAGAGACUGCCGGUGACAAACCGGAGAAGGUGGGGGACGACGUCAAGUCAUCAUGGCCCUUA